UACGUAGGGUCCGAGCGUUGUCCGGAAUUACUGGGCGUAAAGAGCUCGUAGGCGGUUUGUUGCGUCGGCUGUGAAAUCCCGAGGCUCAACCUCGGGUCUGCAGUCGAUACGAGCAAACUAGAGUGUUGCAGGGGAGACUGGAAUUCCUGGUGUAGCGGUGAAAUGCGCAGAUAUCAGGAGGAACACCGGUGGCGAAGGCGGGUCUCUGGGCAACAACUGACGCUGAGGAGCGAAAGCGUGGGGAGCGAACAGG
rnacentral:rRNA from 1 species